rnacentral:rRNA from 1 species
UCAGUCGCGUCUGCCAGGGAUCAACCUUACUUUUGUGAGGCGUACUUCCUGGUUGAUGGGUCAGCAUCAGUUUUGGUCGCUGGAUAAAGGUCAGAGAAAUGUGGCACCUUCGGGUGUGUUAUAGUCUUUGAUCAGAUACAGUGGCUGGGACUGAGGAACUCAGCGCCGCAAGGCUGUCUUAGGAUGCUGGCAAAAUGGCUUUAAUCGACCCGUCUUGAAACACGGACCAAGGAGUCUAACAUGCCUGCGAGUGUUUGGGUGGAAAACCCGAGCGCGUAAUGAAAGUGAAAGUUGGGAUCCCUGUCAUGGGGAGCACCGACGCCCAUACCAGAAGUUUACGGACGGAUAUGCGGUGGAGCAUGUAUGUUGGGACCCGAAAGAUGGUGAACUAUGCCUGAAUAGGGCGAAGCCAGAGGAAACUCUGGUGGAGGCUCGUAGCGAUUCUGACGUGCAAAUCGAUCGUCGAAUUUGGGUAUAGGGGC